rnacentral:tRNA from 10 species
GGUUAAGACCCCACCCCUUGUUUUGAAUAUUCAUGAGGAGGCGUGUCCUUCUGGUAGGCGACACCCCUACAUUCCAAACGCCUCGCGGACUUUUCCCUUUUACAGCAAGGGCCGCGAGGCGUGAGAAUCCGGAACUGGCAAUGCACUGUCUCCUAUUGGUCAAUGCAAAAUGUUUAAUUUGCAUAUAUAACACAAGGCGGGGCCCUCCGGUGAGGUCACGUGGCUAUGAACCACUGAAGAAGACCCCGGCGCAGGGGUGCGGCCGGAGCUCCAGUGGCGCAAUCGGUUAGCGCGCGGUACUUAUAUGACAGUGCGAGCGGAGCAAUGCCGAGGUUGUGAGUUCGAUCCUCACCUGGAGCACUUUUUUUCCCCAUCAGUUUUUAUAAACUUACACAUCUAAUAAACCAACCAAAACAUCUACAUCACUUAGAUGAAUGAACGUUUCUAUCUUUUGAAUUAUUGGGCUCAAAAGACUCCUAGGGCUUUGGCGACGGUCCUUUGGGUGUUCUGUAUUGUAGGGAGGUGCCGUUUCCGUCCCAGCCACCAGGUGGGGGUAUCGUCUCUUAUUAGAUGCUCUGGGCAUGGAAUUGUGUGCAAACAGUUUGACUUCUGUAGAGAUGUGGGUCCUCGGCAAACUGUAUAUGACUCUGCCUCCUCUGUAUUUCUCUGUCUUUUUAAUGCCUCCUUUACAGAUGAACAUAGCUAUCUGUCUUGGAGUUUUCGACCUCUGUUGAAAAGGAAAACUAUGUUUUUGAGUCGACUUGUUUUUUCAAUAAAUAUUGAACAUUC